GCGGCUGUAGCUCAGCUGGAUAGAGUAUCUGGCUUCGAACCAGGUGGUCGCAGGUUCGAAUCCUGCCAGCCGCG
rfam:Oleiphilus sp. HI0065 HI0065_c17, whole genome shotgun sequence.